rnacentral:lncRNA from 1 species
CUUCACAUUGUCUGAUGGCGCGAGGUAGAUCAGCAUCUCCGCCCAGAAAUCCGCCAGCACAUUCCACCGGGUGCCCUCCUCCAUUCCCUCCAGCUGCUUCCCCAGCCUCAUGCCCUUGUGGAAUAUCUCCUCUUUAUUUGAUUCACAAUUCUUUAUUGAUUCCUCUACAACUGCAAUAAACACACGUGAUGUGUCAUAAUGGUGCCCAGGAAGAAGCUUUGGUUCGCUCACCACAAGGUAUGCACAGUAUUUGGACAGUUUUGUGGCGACGUCGAGGUCACGCUGAUUGAGGUCUCCCCUCGCCAGCCCCUCGCCAUGUCAAGAUGAUCUGUGUCUGGUUCUCCUUUUGCUCCGAGCUGCCUGUGCCAUAGUGCCUACAUGCCCACAAGAGCUCAUCUGCCCUGUGAGACCUCAGUGAUGACUGCCCAUUUGUUAGAACACCCUGGGUACAUUCAAGAGACUGAACAAGUGCCUCCUUUACUUCUGCAGACAGCUCUACGGGUUUCCCAGGCUUGCAGGCACUCCGUCGAACAAGAUGAAUGACCUCAGAGUCUUCAAUACACUACUAGAAAACUCGGUAUUAAUACCGGUUCGUAGGGUGCAUAUCUCCUAAAAAUGUAUUCGGGAUUAAUCCGUCGAGAUAAAAGGGGGAUCUUUUAUCACGGGUCCCAAACCAGGAUAUAAGACCCCUUUUAGUCCCGGUUGGUAUUAUCAACCUGGAGAAAACGGUCGCCCCGCCAGGGGCUACCUCGCGCCCCUUUUAUCCCGGUUGGUAUUACCAACCGGGACUAAAUGGUUUUGCAAAUUUUUUUUUGCAAAAAUAAAAAAAUAUCGGGGGGUCGCACAUCGCAAGUCACGCGAUUUUUUACGCAAAAUAUGCGCGUGCGCGAUCUGUGAGAUUCGAACCCAUGACGCAAAGGCGACCAUGAACAACAGGAUGAUAACAGUGAGCACCACAAAUACCUCAAUGUGGAUCACUGUUACCCUGGCACCCUACCAAAGGUCAUUUGCACAAUUUGAUAAGGUCACGUUCACAUCCCCAAGAUCAAGAUGACCCUUUGCCCUCAAAGCGAUGCAAUAAGGCAGCUGCAAUGGGUAGAUGUACAGUAAGGUAAUAUUAAUAACGCCAAAAUGAUGGGGCACCCAUCACCAUUUUGGCAUGGUGGUAGAUCGCAGCUAUGCUGUUAUUGAGGUCAUGGCUUUAGAAGAGCUUAUAUUAAUUUUGGUUCUGUUGGUAAAAGUAAUCAAUUCUAAAUAUUAGAUAAAAGCAUAAAUGACAGGGACACCUAUUAGGUAUAGAUGCAUAGUGGUAGCAUAAGGAAAUUUUUUUUAGAAGGACGGGAAAGGAGUCUUUAGGCUAAUUAUCUCGAAGGUAUAAACAAUGGACCUUGAUUUCUAUAUAAACCCUAUUAAUGGUAGUUAACAAGGUUGUGAUAUCAGAAAGAAAUAACUGUUUUGGGCACUAAAGUGGCAUCCCAAAUGUAUCUCUCCUUAUUUUCCCAUAUGUUCUCUUUCAUCUCCGUGAGCAAUCAAGCACAGCACUGGCAGCUCUCUCCUUUCUCUUUUCCUCCCAAAUCCGGGCGGAGUACACCAGUGCCACGUUAGCUUGGGGAAAUCACGAAGUUUUUUUUGGAGAAAUCAACACACCUCAGUCAAUUUUGAAAUAAUUUUGACAACAGUAUUUAUCAGAAAGAGGUCUUCCUAGUUUCAUGCUAAAGCCUCCAUAAUUAACAUAUACAAUUUAUUUAUUCUACAUACGGAAGAUGAUGGCUUUGGUUAUAGAAUCCAAGAACAAGUACAACUAGAACAACCUCCCUCAUCUUGAUGCCAAGCUGGACAGCAAAAAGUCUUUGUAUUCUACUAGAUGAAUGAAACGAAAAGAUGAGACGUAGUACAGCCACGUCCAAUUCAGUGAAAUCAUACGAGCAAACUAAAAUCCGAUAUGAUCUGGAUAUUAUACCAACUGUUUCCCUAUGCUAUCGUUUGGCUGAAUCUAUUGAGGCCACCAGGACAUGGACCUGGAGUGAUGUUAAUAUCUUGGAGCCUGAUGUUAACAUCACUUUAGAGUUGAUCUCCACCGACUCGGUCCAACAACCGAGUCGGACCCUAUCUCGCGCCUUGAUCGGGGGCGCACAACCAACUCAUGAUUCCCACUCGUUGCUGCAAAUGAUCCUGUCCAGAAUGCCAGCGUGGGUAAGCAAUGCCCACAAAUGUGUGAUAAACUCCCUCCGUUUGCCAGGCAUUUGACAUGCGCCUUCACAUUAUCCAAUGGCGCGAGGUAGAGCAACAUCAUAUCUCGGCCUAGAAAAUCUGCCAGCACCUUCCACUGGGUGCCCUCCAGUUGCUUGAUCUCCUCCCCAAUGAGCCCAAAGGCCCAUCGAGACCCUGAUCCGCGCCCUGAUCGGGGGCACCCACCCUAGCAUUGGGUGGUAGGCUCCUGUCGCGCUGCGCUAUAUAAACAGGGUGGGGACCAUGGCUCGGCUCACGAGGUUCGCCGCUGCCAGCCGCCCCACCGACACACCUACCGAUCUAGGUUUUGCGCAGUAGCGAUGGGAAGCAUCACCGCCGCCACGCCGGCGACUCGACACGACACUGCGCGUCGCUGCCUUGCGCAGACUUCCCCACGUGAACGUGAGAUGGCCAGCAGUUCUGCUGCUACCACCCCUAGGGGUGAAGGUACCCCUACCCCUCUCUCUCUAUUGCUCUCGGUUGACACCAGAAACCUCAAGACCUUCAUGUUGAUUGUAAUCCUGACUAGAUAUGCAUUUAGAGAUCUUAGGCAUGCACAAUUCCCCAGCCUCACUGUACGCCGUCAUACAGUUGAUGCUUCCCAGGGCCAUGACAAAUGGGAAAAGACAUGCCCGAAGCAGUUCGCUCGCCGCAAACAGAAGGAGAUGACCGAGCAAAACCAAGUGUGUCGAUCAGCAGAGGCCAGAGGGGGGUUUAUGGUUUAUACAUUCACCAUCUGCUGGCACAGUUGAUCUUGAUUCAUGGAGGGACGACAGGUUCUGCCUGGUAUCAGCCUUAAUUAAUAAAGAAUUAUGAGAUCCUGAACUAAAUACGCAAGGGGAAAAAAAUAGAUUUGACUAUGAGCGAUGCCAUAUAUUCUGAACUACAUAAUACUAUGUGACAACAGACAACAAGCUUGCCGAGGACAAUCCUAACCAAAUCGACUAAGCAAAGGAGUGAUAGACAGCUGACAAAGUGACAAGCAUAAAGCAUACCUUGAACAGAGGCAUACCGUCGAAUCGGGCGCGGAUCCAUCAAGUGGAGAUGAGCACCACCACCAGGCCCUGGACUCUGGAGUGCUUGUGCUUAACUAAUUAUUAGCUCCAUCCAUCUGUGCAAAUGGCCGUCCAAUAAUUUUUCCUGGUCGCAACUGGCCAAGGAAGAAGGAACCCUGCCUGCAUCAGAAAAUCAGACGACGACGCACGAGAAGAUGCAUUCCAAACAGCCAUAGGAAUACGCAAUUUAAAAUGACCCUCCACGAGGACGACUAUGCCUCGUUCGUAGGAGCAUCAUGGUGUGAGAGUGAGCUGGGUGCUCUCCGGGAAAGAGACACGGUUGCAGGGCGAGGCAUCCGGGUUAAAAGAAGCACGCAUAUGAGAGUUGUUUAUCAUUCAUCAAGCAGAGAGCAAAUGAUACAAAGUGCGGCAAUACACACGACCAGGGGUAUUUUGUCUGAAACAAGUUGACGAAUACAUGAAAAGAACCAAUAAUGAUAUAUAGUACAGCGGCAAGCACUGUGAGAAACAGAUGGCCAAGGCCUCAAUGGUAGAGGUCAACAACACCAGCAUCCUUCCAAUUAGACUUGCAGUAAUAAGAAGUCACUAAAGCACACCAGGACAACAAUUAUAUAUCUUGAACAAUUAAAAAAGUGAACAAGUGGCAGGUCAAUAUCAGCAUAAGUGAUCAGGGCUUGCUGAAAGUUUCCUUUGAUGAGAAUCUGCAAGUUCAAAAGUAAACUAUUAUGAGUUAUGACUAAGGUGAAGAUGGGUUGAACCCAUUUUUGAAAUUGAGUACCGCUUAAAUUUCAGUACCUGAGUUCGAAUAAUGCAACCAGCAGGAUCUGUGAAGUGCCCAAUAUAAAUUUCAAUGACUGACACAGAGCAAUUUAAUGAUAGCAACAAUACUCACUAUUAUGAUCAAAUCACUAUGAUCUCAUUGGGAGCUCCUUCCACAAUCCGCACUGGACUUUCCUGUUGAAGGACCAUGCAUCCCUAUUGCUGAAAAACAAUAUCAUCAUUAGCUAAGACAAUUCCAUUGAUUGGAGCACAAAAGCCUAUAUAAUACUAUUUGGAACAUAUGUUGAUAGAGAGAGAGGACUUACGUUGGACGCGAUGCUGGUUGAUUCCCUCCAUUAUUUUCUAUGUCGGCGAUGUCGCUUUGACCCCUGUCCAGGAUGCCAGCGUGGGUGAGCAACGCCCACAGGUGUGUUAUGAACUCCCCUCCUUUUGCCAGGCACUCGACGUGCUCCUUCACAUUGUCUGAUGGCGCGAGGUAGAGCAGCAUCUCUGCCCAAAAUCCCGCCAGCACCUCCCAACAACGGUCAGCGUGCACAUUCUUGAGCUGCUCCCCCAGCUUUAGGCCCUUGCGGUAAAUCGUCUCCUCAUCCCCAGCAUCCCUCAAUGCUUCUUGUGCAACCACCGUAAAAGCGAGCCAUGUAUCGUAGUGGUGACCCGGGAGAAGCUUUGGUGCAAAAGCCACCAAGUAUGCACAAUAUUUGGACAGUCUUGUGGCGACCUCAUAAUGUUCAUUGGUACCUGAUGCUGAUAAUUCCUUGUCGCAGUAGCAUGUUGCGAUGUGCCAGGUCAGAAUAACACACACCUGGUUCUCCUUCUGCUGCAAGGACACCGAGCCGAGCUCGAGGCCUUGGCGAAGCUCGAGGCUGCAAGCCCACAAUAGCUCAUAUGCCCCGCUGGACGACAGUGAUAACGCCCCGUUUGUCAGCUUAUUACCAUGGCGAUGGGUGCGUUCAAGGGACUGGACAAGUGCCUUCUUUACUGCUGCAAGCAACUCUGCAGGUUCACCAGGCUUCCAGACGACACUCCAUACGUGACGUGGUACAGCUGGACGACGCACCAUACGCUCCGUAAAUGGAUUAAGCUUGAAUGGAUUGGAGAAUAGCCCCUUUAGAAAUACAUUCCAGGGCUUGACCAUGAACUUGGUAAGCUUGGAUUGACUAGAGAAGUUGCUCACUGAUUCAAGCAACGAAUACUGCUCGAGCUUUUGCUCGUGUACUGACCAGCGGCAGGUUGACACCCACAUACCAAUGGUGACAAGAAUCUCUUUAAGCCCCAUGCAGCGGCGCUACCCUUCUGAUACGCUGGCAAGCAAAAGAUACCCUGCCCCAAAUGGUCGUCGGGUAGUACAUCACCUGCACCACUUGAAGGAAAGAGAUGCACACAAGUAUAGCUACGGUGAGAUAAACAUCAGCUGCUGUGGUGUCCACAAUGACAGACCCCUCCAUCCCUUCAGAAGGAGGCCGCAGCAGGCCUCGAGCCGUCAGGAAGGCUGUUACGACCGUUAAGGUCGCUGAGACCAGUGGCAGCACAUAUUGCGUACAUAAAUUUCCAUAAUAAAUGGCAGCAUACUUGGUGAAGAAGAAGUCAUACAUAAAAGCCAGCUCAAUCUCAAUCACCUUGAAAAUCCAGUCAUAGUCGAUUGCGGCGCUGGCCCCUCCAUCGUCAUUCUCCUUCUUCUUCUUGGCGAGCAGCCCCUUGAAGACAAGAUCACGUGUCUUGGGCUGCGAUGAUUCACCGCACUCAAACCCGAAGAAACGUCUCCGUAACAGAUGGAAAAGGGAGAAGGAAAGGCAUGCAUCCUUAAGAUCAGGGCUUAGAUCGUCGUUUCGCCACACCUUGUCUAGGUCAAUGAUGAUUGGAUCAGAAGGGCCUCUAAUUCUGAACCGCGUUUCAUACUUUCCAAUAUAUGUAGAAAUAGGAUCCACGGUGCACUCCACGAGGUAAUGGUAACCUGUCAUGGUGGCUGGAUCCUAAUCUUCUCCGCUAAUGGUGUGCUCAUGAUACAUGUAAUCAGCAACCAUUUUAUUCAACAACCAUGAUUCGCUUGCCAUUCGACAUGCCGCUAACCUUUGCGCAAAAUACACGGCUGCGACGGCCAACAGAGAAGUAAGCGGGAGCACUCUGAAAAUUAAAUAACCUUACCGCCUCCUGGCAUCCCCUGAAAUGUUUUUUCCUUUCGGUUGGAUGCUUCAGUUGGUGGAUAUCAACAGUAAUUCGUUGGUUCCUGCAUCUAUCAUGUGUAAUGGCCUACAUGCCUGAUCCGGCCGACCAACCCACCAGUGAAAUUUGCCCUUAGUAGCUUUCCUUCGGUUCUCCUCCCGAAAGGGAAAGAAUUCCUGGUGUCUCAGUUCUCCAGAAUUGCCCCACCAGACCAAAGCUAUCCAACAAGACCUAGCUUGUUGGUUCUACUGUUUCGGUAGUUCAGAGGGUUGAUUCCCAUGUAGGCAAAAACAAGAAUUCUUGUUCAUCAUGAGAGUAAAAAGAAUAAUUGAGGCAUCCGGGUAAAAAUAAGCACGCAUGAGAGCUGUUUAUCAUUCAUCAAGCAGAGAACAAAUGAUACAAAGUGCGGCAAUACACACGGCCAGGGGUAUUUUGUCUCAAACAAGUUGACGAAUACAUGAAAAGAACCAAUAAUGAUAUAUAGUACAGCCGCAAGCAUUGACCAAAGUACAUGAGAAAUAAAUGGCCAAAGGCCUCAAUGGUAGGAGAUCAACAACACCGGCAUCCUUCCCAUCAGACUUGCAGUAAUAACAAGUCACUAAAGCAUACCAGGAUAACAAUUAUCUUGAACAAUUAAAAAAAUGAAGAAGUGGCAGGGCAAUAUCAGCAUAAGUGAUCAGGGCUUGCUGAAAGUUUCCUUGGAUGAGAAUAACAGAGCUUUCCUAGAAUCUGCAAGUUCAAAAGUAAAUUAUUAUGAGUUAUGACUAAGGCGAAGAUGGGUUGGACCCAUUUUUGACAUUGAGUAGCGCUUAUAUUUCAGUAUCUAUUAUUUUUUCAAUGACUGACACAGAGCAAUUUAAUGAUAGCAACAAUACUCACUAUUAUGAUCACUAUGAUCUCAUCGCGAGCUCGUUCCACAAUCCGCACAAGACUUUCCUGUUGAAGGACCAUCCCUGUUGCUGAAAAACAAGAUCAUCAUUAGCUAAGACAAUUCCAUUGAUUGGAGCACCGAAGCCUAUAUAAUACUAUUUGGAACAUAUGUUGAGAGAGAGAGAGAGACUUACGUUGGACGCGAUGCUGGUUGAUUUCCUCCAUUAUUUUCUAUGUCGGCGACGUCGCUUUGACCCCUGUCCAGGAUGCCAGCGUGGGUGAGCAAUGCCCACAAGUGCGUUAUAAACUCCCCUCCUUUUGCCAGGCACUCGACGUGCUCCUUCACAUUGUUUGAUGGCGCGAGGUAGAGCAGCAUCUCCGCCCAAAAUCCCGCCAGCACCUCCCAGCAAUGGUCAGCCUGCAUAUUCUUGAGCUGCUCCCCCAGCCUUAGGCCCUUGCGGUAAAUCGUCUCCUCAUCCCCAGCUUCUUGUGACUGCUGCUGCUUCAAUGCUUCUUCUGCAACCAGCAUAAAAGCAAUCCAUGUAUCGUAGUGGUGACCCGGGAGAAGCUUUGGUGCAAAAGCCACCAAGUAUGCACAGUAUUUGGACAGUCUUGUGGCGACCUCAUAAUGCUCAUUGGUGAUGGCACUACCUGAUGCUGAAAAUUCCCUGUCGCAGUAGCAUGUUGAGAUGUGCCAGGUCAGAAUAACACACACCUGGUUCUCCUUCUGCUGCAAGGACACCGAGCCGAGCUCGAGGCCUUGGCGAAGCUCGAGGCUGCAAGCCCACAAUAGCUCAUAUGCCCCGCUGGACGACAGUGAUAACGCCCCGUUUGUCA